rnacentral:rRNA from 1 species
ACAGGGAUUGCCCUAGUAACGGCGAGUGAAGCGGCAACAGCUCAAAUUUGAAAUCUGGCGUCUUCGGCGUCCGAGUUGUAAUUUGCAGAGGGCGCUUUGGCAUUGGCAGCGGUCCAAGUUCCUUGGAACAGGACGUCACAGAGGGUGAGAAUCCCGUACGUGGUCGCUAGCCUUUACCGUGUAAAGCCCCUUCGACGAGUCGAGUUGUUUGGGAAUGCAGCUCUAAAUGGGAGGUAAAUUUCUUCUAAAGCUAAAUACUGGCCAGAGACCGAUAGCGCACAAGUAGAGUGAUCGAAAGAUGAAAAGCACUUUGGAAAGAGAGUUAAAAAGCACGUGAAAUUGUUGAAAGGGAAGCGCUUGCAGCCAGACUUGCCUGUAGUUGCUCAUCCGGGUUUUUACCCGGUGCACUCUUCUAUAGGCAGGCCAGCAUCAGUUUGGGCGGUUGGAUAAAGGUCUCUGUCACGUACCUCCUCUCGGGGAGAACUUAUAGGGGAGACGACAUACAACCAGCCUGGACUGAGGUCCGCGCAUCUGCUAGGAUGCUGGCGUAAUGGCUGUAAGCGGCCCGUCUUGAAACACGGACCAAGGAGUCUAACAUCUAUGCGAGUGUUUGGGUGUCAAGCCCGAACGCGUAAUGAAAGUGAACGGAGGUGGGAACCUUUCGGGGUGCACCAUCGACCGAUCCUGAUGUCUUCGGAUGGAUUUGAGUAAGAGCAUAGCUGUUGGGACCCGAAAGAUGGUGAACUAUGCUUGAAUAGGGUGAAGCCAGAGGAAACUCUGGUGGAGGCUCGCAGCGGUUCUGACGUGCAAAUCGAUCGUCAAAUUUGGGCAUAGGGGCGAAAGACUAAUCGAACUAUCUAGUAGCUGGUUCCUGCCGAAGUUUCCCUCAGGAUAGCAGUAACGUUUUCAGUUUUAUGAGGUAAAGCGAAUGAUUAGAGGCCUGGGGGUUGAAACAACCUU